AGUGAACGCUGGCGGUAGGCCUAACACAUGCAAGUCGAACGGCAGCACAGUAAGAGCUUGCUCUUACGGGUGGCGAGUGGCGGACGGGUGAGGAAUACAUCGGAAUCUACUUUUUCGUGGGGGAUAACGUAGGGAAACUUACGCUAAUACCGCAUACGACCUACGGGUGAAAGCAGGGGAUCUUCGGACCUUGCGCGAUUGAAUGAGCCGAUGUCGGAUUAGCUAGUUGGCGGGGUAAAGGCCCACCAAGGCGACGAUCCGUAGCUGGUCUGAGAGGAUGAUCAGGCAAACUUGAACUGGGACCAGGUCCAGACUCCUACGGGAGGCAGCAGUGGGGAAUAUUGGACAAUGGGCGGAAGCCUGAUCCAGCCAUUCCGCGUGGGUGAAGAAGGCCUUCGGGUUGUAAAGCCCUUUUGGUUGGGAAGAAAAGCAGGAAGGUAAUACCCCGCUGUUCUGACGGUACCCAAAGAAUAAGCACCGGCUAACUUCGUG
rnacentral:rRNA from 1 species